GUGUGUUAAUGAGCUAUCUCUUGAAUUUGUCCAUUGAUCGUGUCUCAGAAAUAUUUUCUCAUUGUUUCAUCACACUGAAACUUUGGCCAAGAAAUGUUUAAAAUUCAAAGCAUUGAUAUCAAUUUCCCCCCCCUUUUUUUUUAAAGGCAACUUACAAGAUUAAAAUUAAAUUUGGUUGAUGAUGGUUCUGGACAAAUACAGCUCUUUUAUUUGAGGUAUGCCAUUUUGAAGACAGACCCGUGGAAUUUUAUCCUUGAGGAUAGGGGAAAUCUUUGUGAAAGUCUGUAUUUUAUAAAGCAAAAAGAAUAUAUCACUAAAGGUUGUCAGUGCAACAUAAAUUGUAUACUCAUUAUCUUGAGAAAGGGAUGAGAAAAAGCCCAUCAAAUUCUUUACCUUACAUCAAAGCAGUUUUGUGUUAAAACAUUAAAACAGUUGAUACAUGUAAUUUGUAACAGAGCGAUGAGACAUUUGAUGUUUUUCAAUCAAAUGGUGCUUUAGGGUUAUGGUUAAAUCAAUAGUUGAGUCAUCAGAAUUAUGUAUCUUUACAAUCUGAAAUGUACAUUCUGUAGACAUUUUUUUGUGAUGCAGAUUACAAAUGACCUAGAAUUUUGUAGUUGCAGCUCUUAUGAUUCUAAGGAACUAUAUUUCAAAAGCUAAAUACACUUUCAUAUUCUAGUUAUUAUGUAGUGAAUUUAAAAUUCUGAUUUUUUUUCUGUUUUUAUGAGUUCGCUUUCAAAUAGGCACAAAAAUAAGUAAGUUAUCUGAUAGGAAACUAGAAUAAUACGGCUGAGGAGACCUUGAAAAAUGUAGCUUAGUCUUUUUAAAGCAUAAGAAGGAAGAAAUAAUUUCAACAUAUGUGUGAUGUUUUGACAUCUUAAAGCUAGACAUAUGAAUGAAAAAAUAUGUACAAUGAAAAUUUUCAGGAAUUAUUUCCUACUCUUAAGUUAACACUAAAUGUGGAAAUAAAUGCCAAGCCAAUAUUAGCAAGGGAUUUACCAGAGGAAAUAUGUAAUAUAAUGAGAUAUCUUGGGAAAUUUUAAGAAUAGCCAAAUAACCAACUAGUUAACAUGAGGGCAGGUUUACCUUUGUCCUUGUAAUUUUUGUGGAAUAUCUUUUAUCUGUUGUUGUUGACUUAUUCUGUUGAUACAAAUAGGUGAUAAAAAGUAUUAUUUUUUUUACCUUUGCUUUAGCUUAAUUUUUGCCUUUCAAUCCUUUUGCAAUUUGACCAAAUUUGUGUUUAUUAUAGUGUGCAAAAGGAAACCAAAUGUUAGACCUUUAUACUUUUAAAAGAUGUAGCAUAUAUAGAAAAGUCAGUAUCUUUCAUCCUAAGUUUCUUUAAUACAAAUAUCAAGUUUAGGGUUUUCUCUGUGUAAAUGAUUGGAUAUUGGAUUGGCAUUCAGAUGUGGUUAGGCAUUGCUAUAAAAAUUGAGAAUUGAGCCUCUUAAGACACAAAUAUAUUUGAAGUUUAAUGUAAAUUUAAGCAUAAAUUGACAGUAAAUUUAUAAUCGCCUACCAGAGGUAUAAUUUGACCCAUAAAAAAAGAAUAAAGAAGAUUAGAAACAUUAAAUGAAGAUUAUCCUUUUUAGUCUAGUAUUAGUAAUUAUAAAAAUAACAAAUGAUACGGUAAGUUCUACAUUAAUGUAAUAGAAUACAGCUUUCUUUUUAUUAUCAACAAGGCAAAAGUAAUAAAUUACAUUUUAAAAAGAUCUGCAUGGACUUCUGAGCCAAGCUUGUAAAAUUUGCAGUGUUUUUGAUGUAUAAAAAUAGUGGAUUCAUGAGAAUAAAAUGAAGAUACUACUUUAAAUUACUAUAUUUCAUAAAUAAUUUACUUUGCUACCAUUUUCUGCUUAAGAGCCAGAGUGAUAAAUGCUUAAAUAUUUGUUUUUAUUUUAGCAUUUUGAAUCUUGAACCAGAAAAAUCACCUGAUCAAGUUGGUGAUUGGGUUGCAUUGCAUUUGUUAGUUAUAGUAAUAACUGUUUAAAAAAUUACCCGAAGUUCCACAGAAAUGAAAGAAACCAUGCCUGUAGUUAAUACAAGGUUGUUAUGAACUAUACAUGUCACUAAGAGGCUAGAUUAUAUGAAAUUAAUCUUGGAAGGCCGUUAGGCUUACCAUUAUACCAUCAACGUACACUGAAAUAGGUAAUUUUGUAUACAAAUUUUCUUUUAAGUUUAGUUUACUAUUACCCGAAGUUUCUUAUUUAAAAAUUUGGACUGUGGACAGCCAAUUAAUUUACCUUUUCUAUGAGAUUUAUACUUUUUUGAGAGGCUUAGGGGGAAAAAGAUAAUUUGAGGACCUCUCCAUCUCUUGCAUUGAUGAGAGGUGUGUGAUAGAGCAGAAAGUAUAACUCUGAUGCAGCAGUCAGGAGAGCUGGCUUCUAACCUAAAUUACCCUUGUGAUUUUGACGUUUUAUUCAUUGUGGCCCUUCUCUUAAUUUGUUUAAAGUAUUUGAAAUAUUCAAUUUCUUAUGAUACCUUUUUGGUCUCAAAUUGUGUGGUAAAAAUAAUAGAAUGUCUUGAUUCUCUUAAACUGCCUAAGUAUUUUUGUAGUUUUUGAAUUGCAAAUCAUGGUUGUUAUUUCUGUGGUGAAGUUAAUUUGAAUAACAAGACCUGGGUGAUAAUGUACCCAGCUUUCCUAAUUUUAGGCAUUCCAUAAUAUUAAUAAAUAGUAUAAAGCAGACAUAAUGGAAAGUUAAUCUUAAAAAGCAGUUAAGGUGUGAAAUUGUCUUUAAAAAACAAAGAUUUAGAAGGCUACAAUAAAAACAUUGUUUGAAUUUUUGCCUAGUUAUUUUAUUAAAUAAUUUAAAGAUUAGUGUAUUUAAGGUAAUUUGCACCUGACCAUCUGAUUAUAAAUGGUGAUUUAUAAUUUACAUGCUUGACAUAAUCUUUUUAAGAAGUUUCUAUUCUUCAAUGAUAAAUAUACCUCAUUUACCUUUUCCCUUACAGAUCGAGUGGCUCAAAACAGACAGUUUUCAUAUUGGCUGUUAGUGCUGAAUAUAGAUAAUUUUUAAAAUUUAAAUUCAAGGAUACUCUCAACUUUCUAAAGCAAAAACUGACUUGAUUUACGUAACAUUCAAGUAGCAUGUUUCUUACCGUUUGAUAAAGUUUUAUACAUUGUAUAAAGCUAGAUCCCUGUUUUAAAAGAUAGUUCUUUGUUUUUUGAAACUAUUCCAUUUAUUUGAAAUUGAGUAUUUCCUAAGCAAGCAAUUAUAUCCUUAAUGUGAUAGAGUCAUUUCAAUUUAGGUUAUUAAGCUAGAUAUUUUGCUUAACAUUAAUGGUUUGUGAGUUGUGAUGUUUUCUUAUAUAACUGUUAAUGAAUUUAUCACUACCUUAUUUUUGUGGAAGAUUUCUUAUAUUUCACAGUACUCUCAGGUUUAAUUCUUAAUUUAAAUGUAAAAAUUGUUUUAGGGACUUUAAAAGGUGACAAAAUCAGGAGUUCCCAUCGUGGUGCAGCAGAAACAAUCCAGCUAGGAACCAAGAGGUUUUGGGUUCGGAUCCCUGCUCUGUGGGUUAAGGAUCUGGCAUUACCAUGAGCUGUGGUGUAGGUUGCAGAUGUUCAGACUUGGCGUUGCUGUGGCUGCUGUGGCAUAGGCUGGCAGCUUGGAUUGGAUCCCUAGCCUGGGAACCUCCAUAUGCUGUGGGUGCAGCCCCCCCCCAAAAAAAGGUGACAAAAUAAAAUAUUCUUAGAUGCACAAAUGGGCUAGUAAUGGUAGGACUUGAUUCAGGCCAUCUUGUCUUUUAUUAUGACAAGCAAUCAAAAUUGUUAUUUGCAUUAUAGCUAUAAUUUCAUACUAAAUGAGGAUCUUUGAUACUGCAAAAUAUUAAAAAUAGGUAGGCAUGUGAGCAAAAUUAUCAACUUUGAUAGUUUGCUUAAUGUGAACUUGGUUUACCUCCCCCUUAAAAGGAGGGCUGAGUGGGCCGAGUACUGCUUUGUCAGUGUUUGGAAAGGAAAUUGUAUGGCAGGUUAAAUGGGUGUCAGUAAUCUUUGUGGUGGUACAAGAUGUGACCCAGGUCAUCUUCUGUUUUUGGUGGACUGAGCACCUUGAGCCCUAAUACUUGUACUGGUAGGUAGCCUUUUUUUCCUUUUUUUCUUUUUUUUAAAUUAGAGUACAGUUGAUUUACAAGUAGGUAGCUUUUUUGUAAGCAGGUUCUCAGACUGAUGUGAUAGAUUUCCCUCAGACUUUGCUUUCACCCAACAUUCCUUAGGUCAUUUCCACUCUUCUCUUGGGGUUUAUAUCAAUUUAUUUUACUUGGCUGAUUUAGAAUUUGUCUUUGUUCACAAACUUUUCUUUAUAAAGUCAGAUUAAAUUUGGAAGUUUAAGAAUAAAUAAUGCUGUGUUUCUUGUAAAUUGUUUCAUUUAUUAACUUCUUGGGAGGAUAUUUUAGCAUGUUGCUCUUAAAAGUAAUUUUGAAGCAGAUCUUUGCAAUAUUUCUUGGUUGUGAUUAGUCAAAAUGAUUAAAGGGAUUUAGAUUUGGUAAGAUAAUCAGGAAGUUGGCUUUAAAAUUUGAAAAUUGGAAACCUUAGUCAUGGAAAAGCAUUUGGGUAAGCAUAGUUUUAGAUUAAGUCCUAAACUUUGGCUUUCUAAAAAUCCUUACAUUGCUACACUUAAAUAGUGAACUUUUAAACAAAGCUUUUUGGGUAGUUCUAGCUAUUGUGAUUAUUAUGAUCAACUUAGGAGCAGGAGAGACUGAAAAAAGUGUAUACCUAUGUUCUCAAAAAUGUAUUUGAGAUGUAGGAAACAUCUUUCACAUGAGGUAUUUCAGUCUAACUAGUGAACUAACUAGUGAAGACUAUGGAUGUAUCCUGAUCAAGCAAAUAUUUUUGGGAAGGGUUAGUAUUGAGUAGGUCAUUGUAAGUAGUAGUACAAAAAGCUUGACAUUUUAAGAUUUCGAUCCUAGAACAGUGUUGAUUAGAGUACAUGAUAAUGUGAAAUAAUAUGGUAAUAUUAAGGAGUGAGUAAUACGGCCUUGCCAGGUUGGUAAUGGAAGUUUUCCUUUAGAAGUCUUAAAAGUAGAUUAGAUGAAAGACUAGAAAAUAAAGUAAUUCUGUGCUGUUAAGGAGUGAUAUUGGCUUUUAUAUUAAUCAGCUACCUCUCAGCUGCCCAUUAGAUCUACCUAAAGAGCCCAGACUUUACUAGGGAGUUCUUGGAGCAUGAGAAAUGUUUUUACUCUACAGGUGAGCCUUCUGAACAGUCAAAUUUAAGAUCCUCUGGAUUAGAACUUUGUUGUUUUGUUUUGUUUUGUUUUGUUUUGGAUUAGAACUUUUGGCUACAUUUAUAAAUGCACAUAUGUCUUGGUCUUUCGGAGAGUGAUCCUGAUAAGGUGUUGAAAUUUCCAAAUCUAUUUUUGUCUUUUUUGUAUGUGUACAAUUAUAUUCUUUUUGUUUUCUGCAGCAAUAUGAAUCCUGAGGCUGAAUUGUCUAAGGGGCCUGUACAGCGAAAUAGAUGUAAGUUUUACUCAAUUUACAUGUUUAAUUUGUUUUUUACUUUUACAUGUGACUUUGGAAAUUCUGAGUAAUUGAGUCAGAGUCUCUAAAAAUGUAGAAGAAUUUAGUGAAGUUCCAAGCAGUACAGAUAUAAAUCAACAUAGAUGUAUGUGGCUUAUUAUUAAAAUUUUGGUUAUUAUUCCAACCUCUUUUCCUUUCUUUACUUAAAGAGAGGUAUAAAUGGAUGGAAGGAAACUCACAUUUGAACAUUCUUCUAAUACUGCACCCUAGCUGUUGGUAAGCUCCCCAUUUUUAUAAAUAAAGUUUUAUUGGAACACAGCUAAGCUCUUUCAUUUACAUAUUAGCUGUGUCUGCUUUCUGACUACAGCUGCAGAGAGUAGAUUUAGCUAAUGGCCACAAACCCUAACAUAUUUAGUUAUUUAGUAUUUUAACCUGUAAGGAAAUCUUGCCUAUCCUUUCCCUAGAUUCAUCCUUUUUGUCAACUUUAUGUAGAACUCAAAAGCACUUGGAUUCUCUUAAUAAUGGGGGUGUACCUUUUACUUUGUUAGUAUUUCAUUGUUAGAAUUCAAAUAACAUAAGUAAUCAUGAGCUUGGCUUAAACUCCAAAGCCCAACAAAGGUUCUUUCACACCAGCAUUAUGCUUUAAUAUUAGAAGAUUUGGGGAGUUCCCGGUGUGGCACAGUGGAAAUGAAUCAACUAGUAUAGUAUCCAUGAGGAUUUGGGUUCUAUCCCCGGCCUCACUCAGUGGAUUAAGGAUUUGGAGUUGCUGUGAGCUGUGGUGUAGGCCAGCAGCUGCAGCUCUGAUUCGACCCCUAGUCUAGGAACUUCCUUAUGACACAGGUAUGGCC
rnacentral:lncRNA from 1 species